GGAGAUGUAGUUCAGUUGGUAGAGUGCUUGCCUAACAUGCAUGAAGCCCUGGGUUCCAUCCCAGCACUA
rnacentral:tRNA from 1 species